ensembl:lncRNA
GGCUCGCGCCGUGGGUCCUGCUCGCGCUGCCUCCCUGCAGCGCCUUGCUCAGCGCGCCGCGUUAGCGUCUUUCACCUCUCUGCCUUCAAACCCAAGCGCUGGCGGAAGGAGUUUUCAUGCAUUUGUAGGUUGAUGACAAUGCUAUCAGAGGACUGGACUCCUUACUAGAAAAGAGCUUUGAAUUUACAAUUUUCAUUUCAUCCGAGCUAUUCAAGAGAUAAAGUUCCACUGAGGCCAAUUAGGCACUACUAGAGUGAAGAGUGAGCAACAAAUUUCAAAAUUUGAUCCAUCAUUUCUUGGCUGUGGAUCCCUAUGCCCAUCUGUUCACAUGGCAAACGGCCCACUUGCAAGUUAGCUGGACCACUUCCCCUAGGAGUGGCCUUCAUUUCCCAGCCCCUGGCCUGAUCCUAAGUGCAAAGAAGCCAUUAACAGUGGGAUUGGUCUGUUUUCCCCCGCAUCUCUUGGGACAGAGUACAACUGGAGCCCAUCAUUUCGCAGGAAGUCCAGAAUUUCUUGAAUGUGGCUGUAAAGCAGGAGAAAAGAACAAUGCUGGGGUUGGGUGACUGUGUUCAUAUGAGAAUGAAAGAAUCAGUGCUGCAGCUCUCACUUGGAAUACUUGCACAAGGGAGGAUUAUUCAUCUGAGUAAGAUUUCCAGAACUGGGAUCAUAAACAUCUCUAAAUAGAACACUGAAAUUGUUAAUAAUACAAAACAAAUGCUAAAUAUUUUACUCUUCAGUUGUUUUCAUUGAUCCAAAUUCUAAUAAUCAUUAAGACAUGUCAAAAAUAUGGGAAUAUAUUGUUUAUACAAAAGGUCAUUUGAAGUCUGUGGUAAUUUUUAAUUCACUGAAUUGUUUUCAGCAGGCUUAUCUGUAUGUAGCAUAAUCUCUUGCCCGUUUUCAUCAAAACAUCUCUAAAUUCAUCAUACAUGAAAACAGAACUGGAAGAAGAGGAAAUGAACAAUUUUCCAAUUUAUGUAAUUUAAGAGAAAUAUAUGGGGGGGGGGGCUUUAAUGCCUAUUGGCUGUAUGAAAUACGAAUGAUUUCUACUUACCAAGCUGCAAAAGCCUGUUAAAGGUGGCAGAAAUACUGGUUUUUAAAGGGUUCUGUGGUCUUGUGAGACUGUCUUUGUUGUAAAUCUGCACGUGUCAUUGAACUGGGUUCUGUGAUUUGUAAAAGAUCAUAAUUUUGUUGUUAAUUUUAUCAUUAAUUUUGUCAUGUUUUGGCUAGAUAUUUUUGGCACAAUAUUUUGAACCAGCUUUACAAAUUGUAUGUUAAAAACAAAUGGAACAAAUUCAGAAAAUGAGUUAUUUUAAGGUUGCUUGACUAUUUCAUUGAGAAUUGACUAUUUUAACUGUACAAUUGUGUUAUUUUAAUUUAACAUGAAGAUUUCCAGAGUCAUGAAUAGACUCAUGUGUACCUCUUUUUUUKKGGGGGGGGGGGCACACUGCAAAGAAGAAAAGGUUAAAUAUCUGAGAAUCUGGAAAUACUGAAUGCAUGGAUGCAUAACAAAAGCAAUUGUUAACAUGCUSUUAGUAUAGUAUUCUAAAAGCUAGUUAAUGUUGUAAU